AGGGGCCUGGAGAGAGAGGCAGGGUCUGAUCCGCAGCCUCUGUUGAUCAGCUGUUGCCUCUCUCUUUCUCUCCAGGC
rnacentral:pre_miRNA from 1 species